rnacentral:rRNA from 1 species
AGUGAACGCUGGCGGCGUGCCUAAUACAUGCAAGUCGAACGGAGUGGCGCACGGGUGAGUAAUAUAUAGCUAAUCUGCCCCUUGCUGGAGGACAACAGUUUGAAAUGACUGCUAAUACUCCAUAGCAAGGGAUGAGACUCUAUCGUAUCAGCUCGUCGGUGGUGUAACGGCCUACCGAGGCUAUGACGCGUAACUGGUUUGAUAGGAUGCUCAGUCACAUUGGAACGGAGACACGGGCCAAACUCCUACGGGAGUGAGCAGUAGGGAAUAUUGCGCAAUGGGGGAAACCCUGACGCAGCAACGCCGCGUGGAGGAUGACACGUUUCGGAGCGUAAACUCCUUUUGUUAGGGAAGCGGUACAUAAAGAAUAAGCACCGGCUAACUCCGUGCCAGCAGCCGCGGUAAUUG